rnacentral:rRNA from 1 species
AUGAUUAGUAUUCUCUUCUUCUCAUCCAGCCCCCACAAACGCUCUAGUAUUGCAUAUACGUCUGAAAAUUGCUCCAGCUCUCUUCUUUCCAUCUCAAGAGACAGCUCACGUCAAAUUUCCUUCACAGCUUUACAUUUGAUGAACAAAUGGCCCCCAUCUUCUGUAGCUCUCCCACAAAAGAAGCAUUUAUCACACUCCAGUUGCAUACCUCGAUUCACCAGGUUUGUACACAGGGCCAACGAUUCAUGUUUCAUCCUCCAAACAAACAUUUGCAGGUUCCUUGGGCACGGCAUUUUCCAAAUGCGUCUCCAAGAACUGUCGCCUGAGUUUUCGAGCUGA